rnacentral:tRNA from 1 species
ACAGGGUGUUUUCUAUGUUAGAUCGCCCUCUCACGGCGAAAACAGGGGUUCGUGUCCCCUAGGGAGCGCCA